rnacentral:tRNA from 1 species
AGUCUUAUAUUCAAAAUGAUUUUAAAUUGCAAAUUUAAAGGUGACUAAGGUCUAAGGCUU